ensembl:lncRNA
UCAAGUGGAUGUGGCUGUGAGUGGAGGUUCGCGUGCGAGGGCAGGAGUGAGUGUGGCUGCGAGUGCAAGUUCGAGUGCGUGUGGGUGCAGAGCAGUGUGAGUGUGGCUGUGAGUGCCAGUGUGAGGGCAGGCUCAGGUGAGUGUGAGUGCAGGUAUGUGGCUUUGAGUGCAGGUGGGAGUGUGAGAGUGAGCGCUGUGUCAAGUGUGGCUGUGAAUGCAAGUACGAGUGUGUGCAGGUGAGUGUGAGUGGAGACUCAGGCUGAGUGGGGGUUGAGUGGGUGCAGGUGAGCAUGAGGGUCAGUAUGUGUAUGAGUGAAGUUUUGAGGGUGGCUGUGACUGCAGAGUGCAGGUUGUGGGCUCCGGUGAGUGUGAGUGUGAGUGCAGGUUGUGGGCUCCGGUGAGUGUGAGUGCAGCUUCAGUGUAGGGUUGUGUGUGAGUGUAAGCGAAGGCUCGAGGGAGCGUGGCUGUGGGUGCAGGAUCGGGUCAGUAUGAGAGUGUGAGUGUGGGCUCGGGGGAGUGGCUGUGCAUGCAGGUGUGAGUGUGAGCGUAGGCUUGAGUGUGGGCGUGAGUGCAGGGCUGAGUGAGCGUGAGUCCCAAUGGAGUGUGCUCUCAGGUGAGUACGAGUGUGUGCGUGUAGACUCAGCUGUGGCCAUAGAUGCAGGUGAGUGCAGGCUCAGGUGAGUAUGAGUGUGAGGGCAUCCUCAAGUGAGUGCUUGUGAGCGUGGCCUCAAGUGAGUGGCUGUGAGUGCAGGAUGAGUGUGAGUGCAGGCUUGAGUGUGGAUGUGUGAAAGUGCAAGUAUGCUGGAUCAGGUGAGUGUUGGCUCAGGUGAGUGUGAGUGGAGACCCAUGGCUGUAAGUGCAGGUGCAGGAUCAGGUGAGUGUGUGGGGACUCUGGUGAGUGGGGACUCAGGCGAGUGGGGACUCGUGAGUGGAGACUCAGGUGUGUGAGUGGGGACUCAGGUGAGUGGGGACUCAUGAGACUCAGGUGACUGGGGGCUCCAGUAAAGGUGUGGAGACUCUGGUGAGUGCGGACUCCAGUGAGUGGAGACUCAGGUGAGUGGGGGCUCCAGUGAGAGUGUGGAGACUCAGGUGAGUGUGUGAGUGGGGACUCCAGUGAGUGGGGACUCUGGUGAGUGGAGACUCAGGUGUGUGAGUGGGGACUCAGGUGAGUGGGGACUCAUGAGACUCAGGUGACUGGGGGCUCCAGUAAGGGUGUGGAGACUCUGGUGAGUGGGGACUCCAGUGAGUGGAGACUCAGGUGAGUGGGGGCUCCAGUGAGGGUGUGGAGACUCAGGUGUGUGUGGGGACUCCAAUGAGUGGGCUUUCAGGUGAGUGGGGACUCAGGUGAAUGUGGACUCUCAUGUGAGUGGGGACUCUGGUGAGUGUGAGUGGACUCUCAGGCGAGUGGGGACUCCAGUGAGUGGGGAUUCUGGUGUGAGUGGAUUCUCACAUGAGUGGGGACUCAGGUGUGAGUAGAGACAGGUGAGUGGAGACUCAGGUGAGUGGGGACUCAGGUGAGUAUGAGUGGAGGCUCGAGUGAGUGGGUGCAUGUGUGAAUACAGGUAAAGUGUGGGCUCAGGUGAGUGUGGUUGUGAGUGUAGGUGCAGAUGAGUGCAAGUAUGAGUGUGAGUGCAGGGUCAUGUGUGCGAGUGCAGUUCCAAGUGUGAGUGAGUGCAGGCUGAGCGUGGGCUCACACUCACCUGAGAACCUGCACUCCCACUAGUACACUCAUACCCGAUCCUGCACUCCCACUCAUACCUGCACUCAGCACUCCCACUCAUACUCACCUGCACCCCCACUCCCGCCUGCACUCUCAUACUCACCUGCACCUUCAGUCACAGCCACACUUGAGCCUCCACUCACACUCACACUCACCUGCAUCUUCAUUUAGAGCCACACUGCCGGCUCCACUCACACUCACCUGAGCAGCAGUGGGGCUGUGAGGGCA